rnacentral:misc_RNA from 1 species
UCCGUUUUGACAACGGCAGUCUCGUUAGAGUCCCCGGCAUGACCCGCUGGCAACUAACGACAAGGGUUUCGCUCGUUCAGGGACUUAACCCGACAUCUCACGACACGAGCUGACGACAGCCAUGCAGCACCUCUACAGCGGUCCCCGAAGGGAAGGCGAGCUUUCACCCGCUGUCCACUGCAGUUCAAGCCCAGGUAAGGUUCUUCGCGUUGCAUCGAAUUAAACCACAUGCUCCACCGCUUGUGCGGGCCCCCGUCAAUUCCUUUGAGUUUCACCGUUG